AUGAACGCUGGCGGCGUGCCUCAUACAUGCAAGUCGAGCGAACAGACGAGGAGCUUGCUCCUCUGACGUUAGCGGCGGACGGGUGAGUAACACGUGGAUAACCUACCUAUAAGACUGGGAUAACUUCGGGAAACCGGAGCUAAUACCGGAUAACAUGUUGAACCGCAUGGUUUAACAGUGAAAGACGGUCUUGCUGUCACUUAUAGAUGGAUCCGCGCCGCAUUAGCUAGUUGGUAAGGUAACGGCUUACCAAGGCAACGAUGCGUAGCCGACCUGAGAGGGUGAUCGGCCACACUGGAACUGAGACACGGUCCAGACUCCUACGGGAGGCAGCAGUAGGGAAUCUUUCGCAAUGGGCGAAAGCCUGACGGAGCAACGCCGCGUGAGUGAAGAAGGUCUUCGGAUCGUAAAACUCUGUUAUUAGGGAAGAACAAAUGUGUAAGUAACUAUGCACGUCUUGACGGUACCUAAUCAGAAAGCCACGGCUAACUACGUG
rnacentral:rRNA from 1 species